GGUCAUGUAGCUCUUAGAGUGUUGGUCUGAUAUGCCAAAGGUCAUGGUUCAAGUCCCGUCAGGACUA
rnacentral:tRNA from 1 species